rnacentral:rRNA from 1 species
CCUACGGGAGGCAGCAGUGGGGGAUAUUGGACAAUGGGGGAAACCCUGAUCCAGCGACGCCGCGUGAGGGAAGAAGUAUUUCGGGAUGUAAAGCUCUGUCAGCAGGGAAGAAAAAAAUGACGUUACCUGACCAAGAAGCCCCGGCCAACUACGUGCCAGCAGCCGCGGUAAUCCGGAGGGGGCAAGCGUUAUCCGGAAUUACUGGGUUUAAAGGGAGCGUGGACGGUUAAGUAAGUCUGGAGUGAAAGGCCGGGGCCCAACCCCGGGACUGCUCUGGAAACUAUUGAACUUGAGUGCAGGAGAGGUAAGCGGAAUGCCUAGUGUAGCGGUGAAAUGCGUAGAUAUUAGGAGGAACACCAGUGGCGAAGGCGGCUUACUGGACUGUAACUGACGUUGAGGCUCGAAAGCGUGGGGAGCAAACAGGAUUAGAUACCCGAGUAGUC